rnacentral:ncRNA from 1 species
UACCUGGUUGAUCCUGCCAGUAGUCAUAUGCUUGUCUCAAAGAUUAAGCCAUGCAAGUCUAAGUACGAGCUCUCGUACAGUGAAACUGCGAAUGGGCACAUUAAUCAGUUAUG